UACGUAGGGUGCGAGCGUUGUCCGGAAUUAUUGGGCGUAAAGAGCUCGUAAGCGGUCUGUCGCGUCGGUCGUGAAAACUUGGGGCUUAACCCUGAGCUUGCGGUCGAUACGGGCAUGACUGGAGUUCGGUAGGGGAGACUGGAAUUCCUGGUGUAGCGGUGAAAUGCGCAGAUAUCAGGAGGAACACCGAUGGCGAAGGCAGGUCUCUGGGCCGAUACUGACGCUGAGGAGCGAAAGCGUGGGGAGCGAACAGG
rnacentral:rRNA from 1 species